GUGAGGAAUAUUGGUCAAUGGGCGAGAGCCUGAACCAGCCAAGUCGCGUGAAGGAAGAAGGAUCUAUGGUUCGUAGACUUCUUUUGCAGGGGAAUAAAGUGCGGGAUGUGUCCUGUUUUGUAUGUACCCUGAGAAUAAGGAUCGGCUAACUCCGUGCCAGCAGCCGCGGUAAUACGGAGGAUCCGAGCGUUAUCCGGAUUUAUUGGGUUUAAAGGGUGCGUAGGUGGUUUGAUAAGUCAGCGGUGAAAGUUUGCAGCUUAACUGUAAAAAUGCCGUUGAAACUGUCGGACUUGAGUGUAAAUGAGGUAGGCGGAAUGCGUGGUGUAGCGGUGAAAUGCAUAGAUAUCACGCAGAACUCCGAUUGCGAAGGCAGCUUACUAAGCUACAACUGACACUGAAGCACGAAAGCGUGGGGAUCAAACAGGAUUAGAAACCCGAGUAGUCC
rnacentral:rRNA from 1 species